rnacentral:lncRNA from 1 species
UUUGAAGUAAACACAGAUCCCCCAAGAUGCUAGUUCUUAAAAGGCAAGAAAGAAGAAAAUUGGUGUGCCCCAUUCUGCAGUUUCUAGUGCUGCCUCCCAAAUGAGGUGAAGAUACGAACAUUUAAUCGGUCAACGAAUCUGGGAGGAAUGUUCAAGAAUCCUUGAACUCCAUAGAGAGAUUAAGCACAGUGUUGUCAAAUAGUUGGGAGUCACAAUGUGUUCAUCUGUAAAAUGUACACUUUUG